AUUGAACGCUGGCGGCAGGCCUAACACAUGCAAGUCGAGCGGCGCGGCGGACGGGUGAGUAAUGCCUAGGAAUCUGCCUGGUAGUGGGGGAUAACGUCCGGAAACGGGCGCUAAUACCGCAUACUAUUAGAUGCGCAUAGGUCGGAUUAGCUAGUUGGUGGGGUAAAGGACUACCAAGGCGACGAUCCGUAACUGGUCUGAGAGGAUGAUCAGGCAAACUGGAACUGAGAAACGGGCCAGAAUCCUACGGGAGGCAGCAGUGGGGAAUAGUGGACAAUGGGCGAAAGCCUGAUGCAGCCAUGCCGCGUGUGUGAAGAAGGUCUUCGGAUGGUAAAGCACUUUAAGUUGGGAGGCGUUACCAACAGAAUAAGCACCGGCUAACUUCGUGCCAGCAGCCGCGGUAAUUC
rnacentral:rRNA from 1 species